GAUGAACGCUGGCGGCGUGCCUAAUACAUGCAAGUCGAGCGAACAGACGAGGAGCUUGCUCCUCUGACGUUAGCGGCGGACGGGUGAGUAACACGUGGAUAACCUACCUAUAAGACUGGGAUAACUUCGGGAAACCGGAGCUAAUACCGGAUAACGUGUUGAACCGCAUGGUUCAACAGUGAAAGACGGUCUUGCUGUCGCUUAUAGAUGGAUCCGCGCCGCAUUAGCUAGUUGGUAAGGUAACGGCUUACCAAGGCAACGAUGCGUAGCCGACCUGAGAGGGUGAUCGGCCACACUGGAACUGAGACACGGUCCAGACUCCUACGGGAGGCAGCAGUAGGGAAUCUUCCGCAAUGGGCGAAAGCCUGACGGAGCAACGCCGCGUGAGUGAAGAAGGUCUUCGGAUCGUAAAACUCUGUUAUUAGGGAAGAACAAAUGUGUAAGUAACUAUGCACGUCUUGACGGUACCUAAUCAGAAAGCCACGGCUAACUACGUG
rnacentral:rRNA from 1 species